CCCAUAAAACUCGCCCGAAACUAAAACGAAUCGAUCUCUCAAUUGUCAAAUCUCAUCAAUUAACCCCCUUGUCACUCUUCUUUCUCUCCCAUCCAAAGCCAAGAAUUUCCACUACAGUUACACCCAUAAACAACUACACUAUUCUUUGCAAAUUAGCCUCGCAAUUGAAAAUUGUAGUGAUCAAUAUUUAUAAAAGAGUAAUCAUCUUAUUUUCUUCUAACCCUUUAAACAAUGAAGGUUCAUCCAGUACCAAGAAAACGCAACAUCACGUUACAAUACGACAUUUCUUCAGCUCUCUCUCAAGCAAGCCGUCAAAAGAAGCUACGGCGACUUCCCCAUAUCUUCGCGAAGGUUCUUGAACUUCCUUUUAAUUCCGAUACCGAUGUUUCAAUCCAAGAAACCUCCGAUUCAUUGCGUUUUAUUAUCCCUACAGAUGAUACUGCUGGGGAUAAUAUUAGGGCUGAUAUAGUUGAGAUCUAUCCUGGCGUUACUAAGAUUGUAAUCCGAGGGGAUAAUAUUAACGCUUUUGAUGCGUCCUUGUGUGAAUUUGAGCUCGACACGUGGCGCUUCCGUCUUCCGCCGUCAACUUUGCCGGAAUUGGCUACCGCCGUUAACUCUGACGGUGUGCUGGUGGUUACGGUGCCUAAAGAUACAGAUGACGUGGAUGAUGCUGGUGAUAUUGGACGCCUUAUUCUUGUACAAUAAAUUAACUCUCUAGUUUAUGUCGCAGUUGUUGCUCUGUUAUCUAAAGGGGCCGAGGGGAAGAAGAAAAGAGCAAGCUUUUACUUAAAAAUGAGCAGUUAAAGUCAUCCUAUACUUCUAUUAUAGCAAUUUGUCACAAUCACAAAUGCGGUUGAGUUGCUCGUUGUGUUUUUAUAAGCAUAGAGGAAGGUUUAAGAGCUAAGCCAUUCUGAAAAGGUUCUGAAGAAGAUACAAAUUGUGGAGAAACAUCUGUAGUUGGGCUCUGUACAAGGUUCUCAUGUUAUGGUGAUUGUAGUAAUCUAUGUGGCUUCAAUAUACCCGUGGUUAUGUUCUCCUGAUCUUGUUCAUACUGGUCCAAGGGCUGUAACGUGUCCCACUGUUUAAUUAUCUUGGAACCAAGAGAGGACCUUAGUUUUACCUGGUUUGCGGCUGUGAGUCUGUCAUUUCUGCUCAGUUUUUAAAGAUUUUCUGGAGCUGCCAAUCUGUGGUCAUGGUAAUACUCUUAUGUGAGACUUAGUACAAUCGAAUCCCUAAAACAGACCUUACAAAAAUCACACAAUUAGUUGUCAUUUUCGCUCCUAACCAUGAAGUGUAGUGUUGUUAUCAUUCCCAACCAUGUUUUUAUGCUCAUUAAGUUAUAAUUCUUCACCCGCAAGGGUGACUCAGUUGGCUGAGCAUGGGGCUUCCAUAAUGGAGGUCUCAAGUUCAAAAGGAUUUGCCUUCUGGGUCGAGCUCGUCGCACGGGGCUUGCCUAGAGCGGGUUAUCUCUCCUAUGUGAUUUGUGGGCUAUUGCGCAGGACGGGGUUUACCCUGUACGCACACAAAGGAUAGCGGCUAAGGGUUCCCUUGUCAUCCAAAAAAAAAGAAAUAAGUCUUCGACCGAAGCCUAUGUGGAAGCUUUGAUAUGGAUCGCUAAGUAGCUUUAGGAUGUUCGACAGAAGUCUAUUAUUGCAGUGUGGGACUAUGUAUAGUUGCAUUAUCAUCCAGGGUAGUCCAGGAAGACGUGUGACGUCUCUUUUCUUUUGGUUGCUGGUAGAUUGUUCUCUUAAAGAAACAAUUGGAUAACAUUGACAAAACCAACUUAAUUGGCAAUUCAUUUCCUUUGCUAAAAUCAGAAUAAGUGUCGUCACAACCAUGAUUAUGUUCUUGUCUAAUGAUUUUGAUGAAUCAGGACCUGGUCCAGUUCUUUUUUUCUGGCUAUUUCUACAGUUUAAGUAGAUGGUAGUAGUAUAAUUCUGGUGAUGAGAUAAGUGGGGUCUUGCAAAUGUUAGCUUCACGCUCUACCAAAUAUGUGCCAUUUCACUUGCUGGCAAUGACACAUCAUAGUCUACUCUGAUGUGAAAGUUAAGGCUUCACAUACCACCAUGAUGUCAACAAAAGGAUGGAUCUAGAGGCUUCACCUUUUAUCUUGAGAAAGAAUGACGAAUUCUCAUCACUGUAUUUUUGCAGCCAAAUAACCUCUCUUGAAAUUACACUAAAGUUGAACUAUUCGCUAACUCUUUCUUUGCAAGUGGGACAGGAAUAGAUUCUGCU